GGCUGCCGGGUAGUAUGAGGAGGUGGCACUGUGGACGACGAUUGGGAGUGGGGUAAUAAUUGGAGAUGCGGUGCCCUGUAUCUUGAGGACCUGUGCCCUGUUAACCGGCAGAUGAAGAUUCGAAGCGGGGUAGUGAGAGCAGGAUAGCUAAGACCUUGGUGACCAGCACAUUGUCAACAUGCGUGGGGAAGACAACAAUAGUGUGUCACAGAAUGACAAGUCAGCAGUCAUUCAUGAAGUGUCUGACUUUGACUGGAGAGUAAAGGUUAUACUGGCUUCCAGCUCAGCUGGUAUGAUGUAUGAGCCUCUCACCUCUGUGAAUUUCAAGACAGCAGGGGGUGAAGACAUUACAUUGGAGCUGAAUAAGAAACAACUGGAUGAGAUGAUUGAAGCUAUGGAUGCUGCAAUCAAGGCUGCUUCUGAACUGCAGUGAUGACAUUUAGCAUUGUGAUCAGCAUCUACAAUUCAUGUGCACAGUGUGAUAUUGUUAGUAGUACUCUUUGGCUAUCUGUGUUUGCUAAGAUACAACUAAUGUUAGCUUCUGGUUUGACUGCAUAUAAUGCAUACUGGUAUAGUUAUGGUAAUUACAUACACAAAAAAGUGUGGGAGCAUUGGGACCAUGUCCAUGACUAUGCUACAGUUUUACAAUAUUGCAUGUGUCUACUGCUGUGAUUAACUGUAGGUGUUUGUGCCAAUGAAAGGUUGAAAUAUCAAUUAUUGUUGAAAUCAGUCUGAUCACAGGUGCAGCAGUAAGUGAACAUUAUCUCAGACACAAUGCAGAGAAGGGCGGACAAAAUAUGGGUCAGUGAGUCUGUUUUAGCAUUGAGCAGCAAAUAUUUCGGACCAUAAGGGCCAGUCCUGCCUAUAUUGAGUGAGAAUGUUUGCAGGUGGCCUGGAUCUUUGCAGUCAUGGCUUAUGCUGCUGUGCAGUUCUCAGCAAUUAAUAUUCCACUAGCACUAUUCUGUAAUGGAAUUGUGACAAGGCAUUGUGGAGUAGAAUACAUAGAAAUUAUAAUUCAGCUUGCUCUUUUCACUUAAGCAUUUGGAUAGCUUAUCAAAUUUGUUGAGAUAUUUUCAAGUCACUUGUGUCAUGUGUUGAGCAGACAUUGCAACAUUACUGAAGUUUCAUGUCUCCAUUUGACUAAUGCUGAAGGCUGAAAUUUACCAAUGGCAAGAAAGGUGAAGGAAAUGGAAGAAAACUUGACAACAGGGAUCGCUACCCAUGACCAACACCUGACUGACCUGAGAGAUGGAAAUUGUGCGGAAAAAGGGGUCAGUGUGUGUGACCGGCGAUGUGCCACUGAGCUCGAAUCCUCUGCUCCUG